rnacentral:piRNA from 1 species
UUCUGAUCCUCACGUGUUCUGACAG